GACGAACGCUGGCGGCGUGCCUAAUACAUGCAAGUCGAACGCAGUGGGGCCGGGUGAGAAACACGUGGGUAACCUCCCAUCAGAGGGGAUAACACUAGAAAACAGGUGCUAAACCGAUCAUGAUGGAUGGAACCGCGGUGCAUGAGCUAGUUGGAUAGGUAACGGCUCACCAGGGCCACGAUGCAUAGCAUGCCUGAGAGGGUGAUCGGCCACACUGGGACUGAGACACGGCCCAGACUCCGACGUGAGGCAGCAUUGGGUAAUCUUCGGCAAUGGACGAAAGUCUGACCGAGCAACGCCGCGUGAGUGAAGAAGGUUUUCGGAUCGUAAAACUCUUUUGUUAGAGAAGCGGUAUCUAACCAGAAAGCCACGGCUAACUACGUGCCAGCAGCCGCGGUAAUUC
rnacentral:rRNA from 1 species